ACCCACGAAAAAAAACCAGGGCUGGGGAAUCGGUCGAGCGAUUCCUCCUGAUGUUCGCCCCGCCACACUCGAAUCAGCCGCCGCCCUCGCCCUCGCAGCCGCCGCCGAUCCCCUUCCCCAUCUCCCUCCCUCAAACGCCGCCGCCCAUCGCUGACGUCCUACACAAGUCGGGCCACGCCCGCAGCGAGCGCCGCACCAACGUCUCCAUCAACAAGACGCGGCGUCUCCAUGAGUGUGCGGGGCUAGGGUUUCGGGCGCGGCGUCGCCCUGGUCGCCGGUGCGACUCUUCUCAGUCUUUUACCGCGGCUCCGCCUCCUGGAUGGCGCUCCUGUGGGCAUGGGUGCGCGCGCGCGUCGGCUUCCUCCUCUCUAUCAUGCAUAUUCGUGUGGCCUCGACCAAAAUGUCGGUGUUGUGCUCUUGUAGAACAGCAUUAAGAGGAUGUGAUAUCAGCUAGCUUAAUUUUUUCCAAACUCCUGCAAUGAAAGGAUGUGGUCCUGUCAAAAUCAGAUACUAAUGGCAGUUUUGCGAGUGCAUGCAUGUUCUUGUCAUUUCAACUAAUCUGGCUGGCCAUGUUUCCAUAGAAAGGUUCAAGCUUCUCAGCCAUACAAUAGGUGUCAGACACCCAGACUUUAUGAGCAUGUGAUUUGUUCAGGCAAGCAACGACAGGCACAGCUGAAACACAUCCUACAAAUUUUGCUUCUCUCAAUUGCUCGUUUCUCCUGCGCUGCUCAGAGCAUCCCGAUGGACAGUGGUGUUCAUGGCGAAUCGAUGGGGCUUGCCUUCCUCUACACAAUUGAGCGCAGGUUCCUGAUCAUAGUACAAACUUUUGAAAACAUUAUAUUUCCUGCUUGCACUUUACUUGAAGCAUAAUUAUACUACGUAUAUUUAGCGGAUACUAUUGUUUGAGUAAUAAAAAUUUGGAAGCUCAAUUAUAUACUUGCUUUAGAUUGUUGCCUUAAAAAACAAUAUAUCUUUUUUCACUAAAAUGCAGGGUUCAUUUUUCAUUCAGGAAUAAGGAUAGUACAGGGUGUAUCUGAAAAAUACAGGGUAGUGAAUGGUAUGCCGGCAACAGCCCGCAAGGACCAAAGCAACUCUAAUCUGGUUCGCUCGGUCUUUGAAUCAGCUGGUUAAAAACCAAGAGGUCGUUUGGGGUUUGUAGUAGUGUUAUUUACUAGAGGCUACUUCCCUUAGUAUUGUCGAUGUCCACUUGACCUUUCAUGGGAAUCGGAUGUAACCAUCCCGCAACCUGCGACCGUUCUAGCAACUGGCAAUUAUUCUGUAGCAAAGCACAUCAGUUUGUUCUAUUAUGUUAAUCGGAAAGUCUGUACAUAUGAGUUCAGACUGAGACUGAGAGAGUGAUAUAGAUUUGCUCGAGUUUACGAAAUAUAUUAUGUUGUUACUUGCAUCUUUCUUGGAUUUUUUCCCUUGCAUUUCUUCUUCUUUUCCCUACCAUCUGUUUUAUAGAAGUUUCUACAUCAAAUUAAGCAAGUACAUUAUCCGUUCUUGUCCAAGUUUAUCUUAUUCCUUUCAUCGGAAGUCUGUACAAAUGAGUUUGGACGAAGAGAGUGACAUAAAUUUGCUUGAGAUUUUGAAUUAUUUUCUGCUUUUGGGUUUGCAUGCUAUACUGCUUGAUUAAUGAUUAUUGAGGAAAAUUAGUGGCAAACGUUGGUUGAGAAAGCUCCUGCAUUUACUGUAAUGCACGGUAGUUUAUUGCAAUAUGAUCUGCACGGUAGAAAGCACUCAUAUUUGAUUUGAUUCUGUUCUGUGCUUGCCAAUAGUAAUAACUUGAAAUAUGCUUUUAUCAUGAUUAUAAAGUUUAUUGAUGAUGCUUUGUUUCAGGAUAUGUGUAGAGGCUAUUUGCAAUGUGUUCAAGGCAGAUAGUAGAUUAUAUGGUUAAGCAUCUCACUUAUAUUGGUAAUUUUUAUUUGUUUUAUUUAAAUUAAAAUGGUUUAUGUAUUCUGCUCUAUAGGUGAAUUUGCUCCAAUGAUUCUGCAACCCUCGAGGAGGUGACAUUUCCAUCAAAUGAUUUUACAGUUCGUUUGGUGUCAACAAUGGGUGGCAGUAAACUGCAUUGCUACUAAGUGCGGAUUGUUUCCUCAGCUUCUGUCUGCCAAGGACGUGGUGGAUCCAAAGAAGUUUCUGAUGCAGAGUUAGCUUUGGAAGGAACUUCUUCUGCUCACUGUUUACAUGCUGGUGGUACUCUUGGUGUUUUGCCAACUGGAAAGAAGAUAGUUAGCAUGGGCAUUGUUCAUUCAUCAAUGCCAAAACACAAAAGGCUUAGACAACAAAAAAGAAUGCCCGUUUUUCAAUGGUCUAUUGAAGAAAAAUCAAAGGGGACAAAAGAUAAUACUCCCUCCAUUCCGAUUUACUCGUCGUGGUUUUAGUUUAAAUUUGAACUAAAACCACGACGAGUAAAUCGGAACGGACGGAGUAGUAUUUCUAAAGAGAAUUCUCAAUGCGUAGAGCAGUCCUCUCCAUAUUAACACAUAAAGCCCCAUUCCCUCCCAACACUGGCCGGUGGCGGAGCUUGGCAACGGUGGUGAUGUGGAGGCGAUGACCAUCAUGGAAGAGGGAAAUAUGCUGCUAGAUACUGAUGUUGAUUGCAACGACUCCAUGACAUUGUAACGAGGGGAUACCGCAAUGGACAAGGCAGAAAUCUUGUUUAGAGGGACAAUGCCCACGGGUGACUGCGGUGUGAGCUGGUGUUGUCCUGUCGUGGCAAUAGGGACGCAGAGGCAAGGUGGAGGCCAGAGAUGGCAUGGAGAAAAAUUAUGACGAGCAAAGCAGUGACAUUGUACAGUAACACGGUCAUGUGUGUGGCCUCUGCGCAGCAGCGACAGGUAGCCAUCGGAGCAAGGACAACGGCGCACACACAUGUUUAUGAUGCUGCUCGAGGCCACAGGGCCAACCAGGAUUUGUUAUUCCUUCAAAGUGAUAUGAAAACGAAGAUUCUACUUGUAUAACUAAAGUUUGAUCUUCAGUCCUACUCCCUCCGUCUGGAAUUAGUUGAUGCUCAAAUGGAUGUAUCUAGAUGUAUUUCAAUGCUAGGUACAUCCAUUUGAGCGCCAACUAAUUCCGGACGGAGGAAGUACACAACACAUCCUUUUUAGCGGAAUAAAAGGCCACAACUUCACCACAUAUGAGUGUAACUAAAUCUCAUGUUUCAUGCUCUAACUUUUGUACUAAAUUUUUGUUAGAUACAGGCAGUGGCGGGUGGCGGAAUAGCAAGGCAUCCGGUCAGAUGACAUGGGUCGAUGGGGAGUUGGUGGCUCUUGACUACAACAAAGAUCAUCGAGGCAAUCUAUAUUGUUGCUGCUGUUGUAUUAAGAUAUCAACGAGAAUCCAGAAUAGGCUCUUAAGGGAGCAAGGGUGUUUGGCGCCUGGAGGAGCGUCCGGGUUCAAGGAUCUGGCCCCCGCCAUCGAGAUGUAUGGGGUCGUCGCCGAGUACAUCUGGUUAUGAGAGAGAUGGAUAUGAAUUAUGUUGACGUUCAAAAAGAAACCAUCGACAAGGGACAAUAUUGAUGAAAGGGGCAAAAAAUUAACAAAAUUUUAAGUAUAUAUGUGCAAUCAGAAAAAAAUUAUUUAAAAGGCCUGUAGCAACUCAUGCAAGGUGCUCUCACGGGUGUAGGUUUGUCCAUCGCCAUUUGACUUUAUAACUGUGCAAGACAGUUGACAGCAGAUCGCUUAUGGUAGGACCUAGCUAUUACCAAUGAUUUAUACUAUCAAAUGCAGUGUCAGUGAAUGGUGUUCCUUUAUCAUGGCUGAAGGUUGCACGUCUUCUGCUAGGUUCAUUGAUACUUCUCGGUAUGUACUUGAAUGUUUCUUACCUAAUUUUUUAGUGGCUACUAUUCUUAGUGGACAGAUAUAAAGUUUA